GAUGAAGAACGUAGCGAAAUGCGAUAAGUAAUGUGAAUUGCAGAAUUCAGUGAAUCAUCGAGUCUUUGAACGCACAUUGCGCCCCCUGGUAUUCCGGGGGGCAUGCCUGUCCGAGCGUCAUUGCUGCCCUCAAGCACGGCUUGUGUGUUGGGCCGUCGUCCCCCUCCUAGGGGACGGGCCCGAAAGGCAGCGGCGGCACCGCGUCCGGUCCACGAGCGUAUGGGGCUUCGUCACCCGCUCCGUAGGCCCGGCCGGCGCUUGCCGACGACCAUCAAUCUCUUUCUCCAGGUUGACCUCGGAUCAGGUAGGGAUACCCGCUGAACUUAAGCAUAUCAAUAAGCGGAGGA
rnacentral:misc_RNA from 1 species